UACGUAGGGGGCGAGCGUUGUCCGGAAUCAUUGGGCGUAAAGCGCGUGUAGGCGGCUCGGUAAGUCUGCUGUGAAAGUCCAGGGCUCAACCCUGGGAUGCCGGUGGAUACUGUCGAGCUCGAGUCCGGAAGAGGCGAGUGGAAUUCCUGGUGUAGCGGUGAAAUGCGCAGAUAUCAGGAGGAACACCUAUAGCGAAGGCAGCUUGCUGGGACGUUACUGACGCUAAGGCGCGAAAGCGUGGGGAGCGAACAGG
rnacentral:rRNA from 1 species